rnacentral:sRNA from 1 species
CAGCGAGAGAGCGUGGCCGCAGGCAACGACCCGAAGGGCGAAGCGCGCAGCGCUGAGUAAUCCUUCCCCCACCACCA